CCCUAUUACCCUCCCUAAUCCUCCCCCAUUACCCUCCCUCAUCCUCCCCCGUUAACCUCCCUCGUUACCCUCCCUAAUCCUCCCCCGUAACCCCUCUAACUCCCAGGUCUUUGUGCUGUGCUGAUAUAUAUAUAUAUAGACUAAAGCUUUUCAGGGUCAUCAUCAAUGUAAAUGACAAUGAGACACGUGAUUCCUCCCAGUUCAUCAGUCAAGUCUACUAAAAAGCCAUAGAGCCUCAUUGUAAACCAGCGGCAGAAAGGAAACCUGUUAACACGCAGCGUCGUCGUGUCUCUUCAAUAGAAGACUAAUGGAUCACAGGAUAAUAUCGUCUGAAACACGAGAGAAGCUAGGAGCCCGGGGCUCCGUGGCGACUAGGCAGCUAUAGGGGGAUUGUACAUUGCUCAUAGUUUAAACUUUCUUUCUAUAAAAAUUCCUCAACUUCCUUUUGUUGAUUUCAAGCAUAAACGUUGUCCAGCUUUUCCACGGACAACAUCGUCCCUUUCCUUCCUCUCUUCUUCCUCGGUUUGGCAUGACGGUCGUAGUAAUGACUAGGAACAUUACAUACUACUACACUGGGUUGAGUUAGAGAGAGAGAGAGAAACAGAGAGAGAGACAGAGAGACGAAGAGAGCGCGAGAGAUGAAGAGAGAGAGAGAGAGAGACGAAGAGAGAGAGAGAGACGAAGAGAGAGAGAGAGACGAAGAGAGAGAGAGACGAAGAGAGAGAGAGACGAAGAGAGCGAGAGAGAGAGAGAGACAAAGAGAGCGAGAGAGAGAGAGAGAGAGAGAGGAAAAGAGAGAGGAAAAGAGAGAGAGAGAGAGAGAGACGAAGAGAGAGAGAGACAAAGAGAGAGAGAGGAAAAGAGAGAGAGAGGAAAAGAGAGAGAGAGGAAAAGAGAGAGAGAGAGACAAAGAGAGAGAGAGAGAGAGGAAAGAGAGAGAGGAAAAGAGAGAGAGAGAGAGAGACGAAGAGAGAGAGAGACAAAGAGAGAGAGAGAGAGACAAAGAGAGAGAGAGAGAGAGAGGAAAAGAGAGAGAGAAAGAGAGAGAGAGAGAGAGAGAGAGAGAGAGAGAGAGAGAGAGAGAGAGACGAAGAGAGAGACAGAGAGACGAAGAGAGAGAGAGAGAGAGAGAGAGAGAGACGAAGAGAGAGACAGAGAGAGACUUGGGUGCAGCGUCACGUCUCAACAGACAGAAGUCUUGUCCCUCGUCUAACCGUCAUCUCCACAGACACACAAUAACACCCAGUGAUAACGGAUCAGAGGGCUUUAGUGACCUGGUCCCUUCUCCCUGAUGGUUUAAGGUUAGGAUGUAAGGAGGAGAGAUGAUCCUACAUCUGUGUUAAAGGGGAGGACUUGUGCCCAAAAGCAUGGUAUUCCCUGAACAGCCUUGAAGAACCAAAAUCAGAUUUAGAACCCCUUUCCUGAGUCAGGCUAAGAGCCAAUCAGAACCCCUUUCCUGAGUCAGGCUAAGAGCCAAUCAGAACCCCUUUCCUGAGUCAGGCUAAGAGCCAAUCAGAACCCCUUUCCUGAGUCAGGCUAAGAGCCAAUCAGAACCCCUUUCCUGAGUCAGGCUAAGAGCCAAUCAGAACCCCUUUUCCUGAGUCAGGCUAAGAGCCAAUCAGAACCCCUUUUCCUGAGUCAGGCUAAGAGCCAAUCAGAACCCCUUUUCCUGAGUCAGGCUAAGAGCCAAUCAGAACCCCUUUUCCUGAGUCAGGCUAAGAGCCAAAUCAGAACCCCUUUUCCUGAGUCAGGCUAAGUGGCGGUCCUCUGAAACAAUAGCAACUAGCACCAUGCUAACAGCGCCAUGCUAGCAGCACCAUGCUAGCAGCACCAUGCUACCCUGAAAUGUAGUUAACUCAUCCCACGUGACAGUACCCUCUGCUGGGUUAGAUCAGCACAGAGACACCCCUCAUACCACCACACUACCAGCCUGUCUACCCUGUCAGAGCACAACAACACACACUAACAUACACACACCAUCCAGGCCUCCUAGUCUGCAGAGAGAGAGACAGACAGGCCUCCUAGUCUGCAGAGAGAGACAGACAGGCCUCCUAGUCUGCAGAGAGAGAGACAGACAGGCCUCCUAGUCUGCAGAGAGAGAGACAGACAGGCCUCCUAGUCUGCAGAGAGAGACAGACAGGCCUCCUAGUCUGCAGAGAGAGACAGACAAGCCUCCUAGUCUGCAGAGAGACAGACAGGCCUCCUAGUCUGCAGAGAGAGAGACAGGACGCAGACUAGGAGGCUGUCUUCUCUCCUCUCCUUCCAUCUUUAAAUAAUCCAAGUGCAAAUCCAAAAAGCUCCUCAGUUCAGCGUCUCAAUAAAGUUAUUAUUAACACCUCAGUUCAGCGUCUCAAUAAAGUUAUUAUUAACACCACAGUUCAGUGUCUCAAUAAAGUUAUUAUUCACACACACAAAAAUAAACCUGGUUUCCAAUGUUUCAUGCAACAGUUUGUUAAAACAAAAAAGUGAGAUAAGCCAAAAAAAUAUAUAUAUAUCUGGAAUUAAGUAAACAAAUAUUAUUAUUGUUGUUGUUGAUUGAAUGAUAUUUGGUAGAGCGGUUGUUUAACACGGUUGAAUACUGGCACAGCACUGGCAGAAUAAUACUCAAGGGGGUUUGUAUUGUACGCUAAUGCUUUUAAGUUAUUCAGUACAGUCAAGGAACGCGACGUCAAAACAACACAACUAGCAACUUCUACCAGUCAAAUAAAACUACUGGGAGAGAAACAACAGUUUUUAUUAUUAUUUUGUUCGUUUUUUUUUUUUAAAGACACUAAAUAAAAAUCGAAGUAAAUAAAUGAAGGUCCAUGGCUUUGCCUAAUGCUGUUUUGAAGCUUUCACACAUUGUGCAUCAUCAUAACUCAACAAUCAACAUUGUAAAUAGUGGCUAAAUCUAUGUUUAUUAUUUAAAGGCAUUGUGUUUACGACCAACGAUAGGUUACAUUCACCCCCCCAGCGAUGACAGACAGAGAGCCAUCUAGGGAGGUAUGAAGAAGCCAAAACACCCCCUUCCCGAUUCAACAGGACCGAUUCUAAAAUGGCUGCCUGCUCCCCACACCAGCAGUAGUGCACUAAAGGGAAUAACAACGGGAGUCUUUAGAGCCACACAGAUGAGACUACCAGUCUUACCUGUCAAGACUACCAGUCUUACCUGUCAAGACUACCAGUCUUACCUGUCAAGACUACCAGUCUUACCUGUCAAGACUACCAGUCUUACCUGUCAAGACUACCAGUCUUACCUGUCAAGACU
rnacentral:lncRNA from 1 species